AAUAGAUACCCGGGUAGUCCACCCCGUAAACGUUGGGAACUAGUUGUGGGGUCCUUUCCACGGAUUCCGUGACGCAGCUAACGCAUUAAGUUCCCCGCCUGGGGAGUACGGCCGCAAGGCUAAAACUCAAAAGGAAUUGACGGGGACCCGCACAAGCGGCGGAGCAUGCGGAUUAAUUCGAUGCAACGCGAAGAACCUUACCAAGGCUUGACAUACACCAGAACACCCUAGAAAUAGGGGACUCUUUGGACACUGGUGAACAGGUGGUGCAUGGUUGUCGUCAGCUCGUGUCGUGAGAUGUUGGGUUAAGUCCCGCAACGAGCGCAACCCUCGUUCUAUGUUGCCAGCACGUAAUGGUGGGAACUCAUGGGAUACUGCCGGGGUCAACUCGGAGGAAGGUGGGGAUGACGUCAAAUCAUCAUGCCCCUUAUGUCUUGGGCUUCACGCAUGCUACAAUGGCCGGUACAAAGGGCUGCAAUACCGUGAGGUGGAGCGAAUCCCAAAAAGCCGGUCCCAGUUCGGAUUGAGGUCUGCAACUCGACCUCAUG
rnacentral:rRNA from 1 species